rnacentral:rRNA from 1 species
UACGUGAGGGGCAAGCGUUGUCCGGAUUAUUGGGCGUAAGCGCUCGCAGGUGGUUCAUUGCGGUCGUGCGGUGAAAGACCCCCGGCUCAACUGGGGAGGGUCCAUUCGAUACUGAUCGACUCGAAGGCAGGAGAGGGAAGUGGAAUCCCGGUGUAGUGGUGAAAUUCGUAGAUAGUCGGGAGGAACACCGGUGGCGAAGGCGGCGAGCCUGGGUCGAUACUGACGCGAUGCGCGAAGCGUGGGAGCAACAGG